AUCUCCCUUUUUCACUCUCCGAGCAGCUCUGUUGUUUUUUACUCUUAUCUCGCUCCACCAAAAUGCCAAGAACAGGAAAAAAAAAAAAUUUUGAAAAAAAAAAGAGGCAGCUCAAGCACGCGUGUUUGCACAGAGGCAAACUCAGCAUCCGUGGAGCCGGGCACGAACAGCCGUGCUGCUUGGAGUUGGAGGAAGAGGAGGGUUGGGGGUGCCAGGUGAAGGUGCUGGCGAUGGGAGGGGGUUGCAUCGCAGCGGGUGCUUGUGCUGGUCCAGCAAAGGCUGCAAAGUGCAGGCUGUGGCAGUAGGGAUUUUGGGGACACCACUGUCCCAGCAGCUCCAGGUGACCUUCAUCUGCUAGGUGCCAGUGGCUCACCCUGCUUCCUGCAGCUUUUGGCAGCGGGAUGGACCUGGUGGGACCCAAAACCGCUUCCCACGGGGAGGGAGAUGGCUCCGGCGCAGAAUUUCUGGGGUAAUUUGUCGCUAGAUUAGCAAAGAGCUUGACCUCUGGCCUCACCGUCACCUGGUAUUGAUGGACUCCAUGGGGCUGUGCUGCCAGGCAGGCAUCUCCCCUGCCUCUAGCCAUUCCCAACUGGAACAACUUUAUUCCAGGUGGGAGAAAAAGUACCAGAAUUGAGGAGUUUUUCACCCAGAAAAACUCCCUUUGGCCAACAACAGUGAAGGCACCUGGUGCAGGAGCAGCGGUGGCAAUGAGCCUUGCACACCCAUGCCACCUUGCACACGUGUACACACUUGGAGCCUGAGCUUCAUGGAUGGAGUUUCCUGCCAUAUUAUGGGGGUAUCCAGCUGCUCCCCAGCUGUGGGCUCACACCUGGCUGCCCGAAUCCUGCCCGGAUUGGCUUAGGGUUGAACAUCUCACACUGCUCUUGGAUGAGGAUUGGGAUGCAAGACACCCCUGGGUACCCCUGCUAUCCAGUAGUUCGUUUAACCCACGCAGCCGGGAGUGCCGGUGGCAGAACAUCCCCUGGGGCUGGACGUGUGUGCAGUGGGGCAGGCUGGGUGCUGGGAUGCAUCCAGGGACCGCAGUGACGUGGGACCAGGAUGCUGCCAGCCACCCAUCAUCCCCGUUGGUGCUCAGUGAUGCUGUGGUACCCAAACCCUAGGUUUUACACGAUUGUAUUUAUACAGAGCAUCACCAUCUUCCUCCCAGCCAGGGCUCCAUGUUUGGGGGCAGGAUGAGGGUGGUCUGGGCACCCCUGGGUUGGUGCCACGUGUGGUCCUGACCCUGUCCAUCCCUCCCCGGCUCCGUCCAUCCCUCCUUGGCCAGGCUGGAGGUGCCAAGCCAUGGAGCAGGCGAGAGUCGGGUUAACUUUAUCAGAAGCCCAAGAGCCGUGAAGGCGUGAAAGAAGAAAUUAGCCUAACAAUGUUUCAUUUACAGCGAGAGAAACGAUUUGUUAGCUGGCGAUUGUUUCUGAAUAUUAUCAGAGCCUUUUUAAUUGUGCUGGAACUGAAAUUAGCAGAAUUAGAAUAAAUUGCCUUCCCUUCUCCGGCA
rnacentral:lncRNA from 1 species